AGGAUGAACGCUAGCGGCGCGCUUAAUGCAUGCAAGUCGAGCGAUGAGACUCCUACGGGAGCACAUCAGCGGCAGACGGGUGAGUAACACGUAGAUGACGUACCCUCAAGACGGGGAUAACGGAUGGAAACAUGCGCUAAUACCGGAUGACCUUACGAUGUCAGAAUGGUAAGGAAAGCUACGGCGCUUGAGGAGCGGUCUGCGGCCCAUCAGCUAGUUGGUAGGGUAAAGGCCUACCAAGGCGAAGACGGGUAGGGGGUGUGAGAGCACGGNCCCCCACAAUGGGACUGAGACACGGNCCAUACUCCUACGGGAGGCAGCAGCAGGGAAUAUUGCACAAUGGACGGAAGUCUGAUGCAGCGACGCCGCGUGAGUGAAGAAGGCCUUCGGGUUGUAAAACUCUUUUGAGGGGGAAGAGCGAGGACGGUACCCCUGGAAUAAGCGUCGGCUAACUACGUGCCAGCAGCCGCGGUAAGACGUAGGACGCGAGCGUUAUCCGGAUUUACUGGGCGUAAAGCGUCUGUAGGCGGAUGCGUAAGUUGGGCGUGAAAGCUCCGGGCUUAACCCGGAGAGGCCGUUCAAUACUGCAUAACUUGAGGGUGUCAGAGGGGAGCGGAAUUCCCGGUGUAGCGGUAAAAUGCGCAGAGAUCGGGAGGAACACCAGUGGCGGAGGCGGUUCCCUGGGGCACACCUGACGCUGAGAGACGAAAGCUAGGGGAGCGAACAGGAUUAGAGACCCUGGUAGUCCUAGCCCUAAACGAUGAAUGCUAGGUGUGGGAUCGAAUGGUUCCGUGCCGGAGCGAACGCGAUAAGCAUUCCGCCUGGGGAGUACGGCCGCAAUGUUAAAACUCAAACGAAUUGACGGGGGCCCCGGACAAGCAGCGGAGCGUGUGGUUUAAUUCGAUGCUACACGA
rnacentral:rRNA from 1 species